GUCUGGUCCAGUUCUGUUCUGAGGUUAACAUGCCCGAUCUCGUCUGAUCUUGGAAGCUAAGCAGGGCUGGGCCUGGUUAGUACUUGGAUGAGAGACUGACUGGAAUACCGGGUGCUACAUGCA
rnacentral:rRNA from 1 species